AGGAUAAACGCUGGCGGCGUGCCUAACACAUGCAAGUCGAACGUCUCUUUCUUCGGGAAGAGGAGUGGCGGACGGGUGAGUAACACGUGGGAACGUGCCCUUUGGUUCGGAACAACUCAGGGAAACUUGAGCUAAUACCGAAUGUGCCCUUCGGGGGAAAGAUUUAUCGCCAUUGGAGCGGCCCGCGUCUGAUUAGCUAGUUGGUGAGGUAAAGGCUCACCAAGGCGACGAUCAGUAGCUGGUCUGAGAGGAUGAUCAGCCACACUGGGACUGAGACACGGCCCAGACUCCUACGGGAGGCAGCAGUAGGGAAUCUUGCGCAAUGGGCGAAAGCCUGACGCAGCCAUGCCGCGUGAAUGAUGAAGGUCUUAGGAUUGUAAAAUUCUUUCAGCGGGGACGAUAAUGACGGUACCCGCAGAAGAACGCCCGGCUAACUUCGCGCCAGCAGCCGC
rnacentral:rRNA from 1 species